rnacentral:rRNA from 1 species
AUUGAACGCUGGCGGCAGGCUUAACACAUGCAAGUCGAGCGGGGACAGGUAGCUUGCUACCUGACCUAGCGGCGGACGGGUGAGUAAUGCUUAGGAAUCUGCCUAUUAGUGGUGGACAACAUCUCGACAGGGAUGCUAAUACCGCAUACGUCCUACGGGAGAAAGCAGGGGACCUUCGGGCCUUGCGCUCAUAGAUGAGCCUAAGGCGGAUUAGCUAGUUGGUGGGGUAAAGGGCUACCAAGGCGACGAUCUGUAGCGGGUCUGAGAGGAUGAUCCGCCACAAUGGGACUGGGACAACGCCCAGGCUCCCUAGGGAAGCAGCAGUGGGGGAUUAUGGGAAAUUGGGGGAAAGCUUGUCCCGGCAAGCCGGCGUUGGGAAGAAGGGCCUUUGGUUGGUAAGGACUUUUAGUGAGGAGGAGGCAGCAGAGAGUAAUACUCUUGGUUAGUGGACGUUACUCGCAGAAUAAGCACCGGCUAACUCUGUG